GGCCUGGGAUAAAUUGCUUUAAUUUCUGGCAACUAGUAUGAAAGCUAUACAUGAGCUCUGAUUAUUUUAUGAGACUAAGGCUU